GAUGAACGCUGGUGGCGUGCUUAAUACAUGCAAGUCGAACGAGGGCACCCACGUAGCAAUACGAGGGUGUUCCUAGUGGCGAACGGGUGCGUAACACGUAGGCGACCUGCCCCGAAGAGUGGGACAACACUGCGAAAGCGGUGCUAAUACCGCAUGAUCUCCCCGAGGCCAGAGUCUCGGUGAGCAAAGGCGCAAGCCGCUUUGGGAGGGGCCUGCGGCCCAUCAGCUAGUUGGUAGGGUAACGGCCUACCAAGGCAGCGACGGGUAGGGGGCCUGAGAGGGUGGCCCCCCACACUGGCACUGAAAUACGGGCCAGACACCUACGGGUGGCAGCAGUAGGGAAUAUCGGACAAUGGGCGAAAGCCUGAUCCAGCAACGCCGCGUGCGCGAUGAAGGCCUUCGGGUUGUAAAGCGCUUUUCGGGGGGAUGAGGAAGGACCGUACCCCCGGAAUAAGUCUCGGCUAACUACGUGCCAGCAGCCGCGGUAACAC
rnacentral:rRNA from 1 species